GCACAUAGGUGCGUGCAGGCCAGGCAGGCUGUCAACUUCACCUGAAAGUUUAAAAAAAAAACUUUGUCCCUGGCGGUCUCAGGCAAUUACUCAUUAUGAUUAGUUCUAUGCUGGGCCUGGCCCAAUCACAUACACAGCAGAGGGCCGAGGUCCCGCCCUUGGGUCUCGGCUGUCAAUCAGUCACGUCACGUCACUUAUUGACACUGACAGAAAAAUGGAGAAAAAACGGAAAGGAGGCGCGGAGAAAGUCCGAGAUAAAAAGAGAAAAGCCCUAGAGGCAAACUCUGCAACAUGUGCUAAAAUAUCGGACAUGUUUGCCGCGACAGCUGGCCCGGCUUCAUUAGCACCUGCUUCGGUGGAAAUUGCGACGGCGGAGGCUGAGGAGGAUGACGGUGAUGAUGCGGACGGAGAGGUGACUGAAUGGAGGCCGAGGCCAAGUGCAGAGAUGGGUGGCGCUGGCGGCGGCCCGGCCCCGGGGCCGAGCUCAGCCUCAGACGAAGUGGCGGCGGUAAUUUUUGGAGUGAAGGAUUGCCUUCCCAUGAUGUGGAGUUCACGUGUGUUCUUUUUGUUUCAUUAGCACCAAGGUCCAUGCAGCCUUUUGUCUCAGCAUAUGGUGCCACUUUUACUUACUGUGUUAUAAUUUGGUGUGUUCUAGUUAGUGUAAAUAAGAUAAUACAUAUAUUGUGUAUACUUCCUGUUGUUGUUGUUGUUCUCUGUUCUAGCAUUUUCUGCUGACUGUGAGACGGUUCAAACUGUACAUAUUAUAAGCAUUAGUCAUAUCAGAGGAGAUUUGACCUAGCUGCAAAACCUCCAUUGUGCCCAAAUACAAAUGCAGAACCCUCUCUUCUUCAAAGUCCUGUAAUCUGCCUUGUUUUUUUGAGUGUAAACGUUUUGUAAGCGUCUAAUCACGAGGAUCUAAUAGUUUUUUUAAUCUCCACUCCUGUUUUUACAUGUGGCCAUUGAAAGAACAAAAGGUUAUUUUGGGCUAUUAUAUAAAAGAUUAAAAUUAUGAUCGUACGUAAUUGUUUAAUUUCUAU